AUUGAACGCUGGCGGCAGGCCUAACACAUGCAAGUCGAGCGGGGUUUUCGGACCUAGCGGCGGACGGGUGAGUAUGCGUAGGAAGCUGCCCGAUAGAGGGGGAUACCAGUUGGAAACGACUGUUAAUACCGCAUAAUGUCUACGGACCAAAGUGUGGGACCUUCGGGCCACAUGCUAUCGGAUGCGCCUACGUGGGAUUA
rnacentral:rRNA from 1 species